CUCACACACCGCGAGAUCGUGACCUGAGCCGAAGCCGGACGCUUCACCGACUGAGCCACGCAGGCGUCCUGAACCAGAAAUUUUUCUAAAAAGCAAACAUCGGUGGAACUAUUGGACUCUUUCUGCUGCCAGGACCCCUUUGGCUGCUGAGAUGCAGACGUGAGAGCCAGGCAGACCCAGGAGCCCGGGAGGAGGCAGCCGCGGGCCUCUAUCCAGUUAAAAGAAAAUUCCAUCUCCACUUAGCCUGCACACACUGAAAUGUCACCUCCUCCGGGAAGGCCAUCCUGACCUCUCUCUGCCCAAACCACACUCUGCUCUGCUCUUUGCCGGCCCCUCCACCUGGCCGUCGAUCGGCGGUGGCACAUGAAUGUUGCCGACAACCGGGCCGAUGCGUUUGGGAGUGGACCCUCCCCCAGCUGAGCUUCCGGAUGAGAACACAGCUCUACAGACACCGGAUGAGAACACAGCAUUUUGAGACCCUCAUGAGAGAACCCAACUAAGCCGUGCCCACACUCCAACCCAUGGGAACAAUUGUGAGGUCAUAAAAACGUGCUGCUUGAAGCCA